rnacentral:rRNA from 1 species
GGCCAGACUCCUACGGGAGGCAGCAGUGGGGAAUAUUGCACAAUGGGGGAAACCCUGAUGCAGCGACGCCGCGUGAGUGAGGAAGUAUUUCGGUAUGUAAAGCUCUAUCAGCAGGGAAGAAAAUGACGGUACCUGACUAAGAAGCCCCGGCUAACUACGUGCCAGCAGCCGCGGUAAUACGUAGGGGGCAAGCGUUAUCCGGAUUUACUGGGUGUAAAGGGAGCGUAGACGGAAUUGCAAGUCUGAUGUGAAAAUCCGGGGCCCAACCCCGGAACUGCAUUGGAAACUGUAUUUCUAGAGUGUCGGAGAGGCAAGUGGAAUUCCUGGUGUAGCGGUGAAAUGCGUAGAUAUCAGGAGGAACACCAGUGGCGAAGGCGGCCUGCUGGACGAUGACUGACGUUGAGGCUCGAAGGCGUGGGGAGCAAACAGGAUUAGAUACCCUGGUAC